UCGAAAUCUGGACCACGCAAGAGGACUCAUCAACUUGUGCUCUGCCAUGCUCGUCGGCUGCCCUUCCUACAAGUAGCGGAUCACCUGAGCGCCUUGAAGUCAUGGGUGCAGAGCCACAGCAUGAGAAAGAGUGGGACCACAAAUACGCCGUCGGGCCAG